GAUCCUGGCUCAGGAUGAACGCUGGCGGCGUGCUUAACACAUGCAAGUCGAACGGGAAACUUUUCAUUGAAGCUUCGGCAGAUUUGGUCUGUUUCUAGUGGCGGACGGGUGAGUAACGCGUGGGUAACUUGCCUUAUACAGGGGGAUAACAACCAGAAAUGGUUGCUAAUACCGCAUAAGCGCACAGGACCGCAUGGUCCGGUGUGAAAAACUCCGGUGGUAUAAGAUGGACCCGCGUUGGAUUAGCUAGUUGG
rnacentral:rRNA from 1 species